rnacentral:rRNA from 1 species
AACGCGAAGAACCUUACCAGCCCUUGACAUGUCCCGUACGGGGCCGAGAGAUCGGCCUCAUCAGUUCGGCUGGCGGGAACACAGGUGCUGCAUGGCUGUCGUCAGCUCGUGUCGUGAGAUGUUGGGUUAAGUCCCGCAACGAGCGCAACCCUCACCUUCAGUUGCCAUCAGGUUAAGCUGGGCACUCUGAAGGAACUGCCGGUGACAAGCCGGAGGAAGGCGGGGAUGACGUCAAGUCCUCAUGGCCUUUAUGGGCUGGGCUACACACGUGCUACAAUGGCGGAUACAAAGGGUUGCGAACCCGCGAGGGGGAGCCAAUCCCAAAAAGUCCGCCCCAGUUCAGAUUGGAGUCUGCAACUCGACUCCAUGAAGCCGGAAUUGCUAGUAAUCGCGGAUCAGCACGCCGCGGUGAAUACGUUCCCGGGCCUUGUACACACCGGUACUA